rnacentral:lncRNA from 1 species
GGCGCCCGCCCCAGGCCCGCGCCGGCUGAGCACCGCGGGACCUCCGCUCAGCCUCUGGAGCCGGCCGAAACCCUUCCAAUAGAUACUCCUGUAUUCAUCAUGUUACAGAUUGACUUCAGCUCUACUUCAUGCCAUUUUCAAGAUCCACCCUCUAUCUGAUGAACAAUUAACCUUGUGGCAAAGGAAAAAAGAUCUUGUGGGCUUUGUGAUGCUGAAAAGCAUUAAUAAACUUCAUGCCUUGGAAAAAUUGGAGGAAGAACCCCCACCAUAUGCAGAUGAAUUAGAUUUGGG